GUACUCGCUUCGGCAGCACAUAUACUAAAACUGGAACGAUACAGAGAAGAUUAACAUGGCCCCUGAAAAA
rnacentral:snRNA from 1 species